rnacentral:tRNA from 1 species
AGUAAGGUGGCAGAAAAGUGCCUCAGAUUUAAGCUCUGAUCAUGAAGCUAUUACUUCCCUUUCUA